rnacentral:tRNA from 1 species
GGGGUUGUAGCUUAGCUUGGUUUGAGCACCCGGCUGAUAACCGGGAGGCCACCGGUUCAAAUCCGGUCAACCCCA